UAGAUAACAGCUGUGCGAAUUCUGGUGAGAUCUGAAAUAAAUAUCAAUUCAAAUACAUGCUUAUCUCAUUUAAUUGUAAAUGUGAUAAAUGUUUUAAAUUUG